rnacentral:rRNA from 1 species
UACGAAGGGGACUAGCGUUGUUCGGAAUUAUUGGGCGUAAAGCGCACGUAGGCGGUUUUAUAAGUCAGGGGUGAAAUCCCGGGGCUCAACCUCGGAGCUGCCUUUGAUACUGUAGAUCUCGAGUCCGAUAGAGGUGAGUGGAAUUCCUAGUGUAGAGGUGAAAUUCGUAGAUAUUAGGAAGAACACCGGUGGCGAAGGCGACCCACUGGAUCGGUACUGACGCUGAGGUGCGAAAGCGUGGGGAGCAAACAGG